GACCGUCUAGCUUAAUGGUGGAAUACUCAGCCGUUAUUUGAGGAGUGCGGGUUCGAGUCCCGUGGCUGUCA
rnacentral:tRNA from 1 species